AUCUGUAACAUCAGUGAACUGCUCACUAAAUUGUUUCAGAUGUCAUCACAGAGGUGAAGUGAGUAGCAACUGUGACUCAGG
rnacentral:lncRNA from 1 species